rnacentral:misc_RNA from 1 species
GCAGCGACGCCCAUCCGUGCAUGCCCCAUCAGUCGUCGGCUCGAGUGCGAUUUAGCCUCGGCUGCAAGUGGGUUUCCUGUGUUGCGUACCUACUGAAAUGGAAUUUGGCUGUCCCAACGUUUGUACAUCCGUCUCGCGCUGUCCCUUCGGGGAGCGGCGUCGAGCGGACCUUAAAGCGGCGCCCGUGUUCCGGCUUCUCACGUUACGUGUUGUUGUCCGGCCCAUGGACCGUCGCUCGGGCUCUCGGAUGCGGAAUACUCAGAGGGUAGGGUUGUCUUUUCGACCCUUGUUUGCCCAAAACAAAUUUCGUUACCGAACGACUGCCGUCGUUCCGUAGAGGCGCUGGAUCCCCCGGAUCCGUCGUCCUCUCGGGAUGUCGGCGUCUGCGAGGAAUGCUA